CUCGCAUGGAGAAGUCUGACGGAGCACGCCGCGUGAGUGAUGAAGGUUUUCGGAUCGUAAAACUCUGUUGUUAGGGAAGAACAAGUACCGGAGUAACUGCCGGUACCUUGACGGUACCUAACCAGAAAGCCACGGCUAACUACGUGCCAGCAGCCGCGGUAAUACGUAGGUGGCAAGCGUUGUCCGGAAUUAUUGGGCGUAAAGCGCGCGCAGGUGGUCUCUUAAGUCUGAUGUGAAAGCCCCCGGCUCAACCGGGGAGGGUCAUUGGAAACUGGGAGACUUGAGUGCAGGAGAGAAGAGUGGAAUUCCACGUGUAGCGGUGAAAUGCGUAGAGAUGUGGAGGAACACCAGUGGCGAAGGCGACUCUUUGGCCUGUAACUGACACUGAGGCGCGAAAGCGUGGGGAGCAAACAGGAUUAGAUACCCUGGUAGUCCACGCCGUAAACGAUGAGUGCUAAGUGUUAGAGGGUUUCCGCCCUUUAGUGCUGCAGCAAACGCAUUAAGCACUCCGCCUGGGGAGUACGGCCGCAAGGCUGAAACUCAAUGAAAUUUUGACGGA
rnacentral:rRNA from 1 species